ACGCCUAGUUUCACACCUGUUAGACCGGUACGUCUAAGCUCCAAUCACGACAUCAGUCCCUUAACUGGUAAAGAUCAGCUGAUAACAUACGGCUCAUGUGCUGCACCUGAGAGAAAAUGAAAGCCCAGGUUUUGUUCCUGCUCCUCGUUCUUGUGGUUGGAGUUCAGCUGAUGCCAGUUGGUUCCCACCGCGACUCACCAGUUAUUCCAGAAGAUGUGGCCCUCGCUGAACUGAAAGGGGAACUGAGAGAAGUCAAGCCAGUUUCACCUGAACCAUUUACUGAGAGUUUUCCAGAAACUUAAAAAUGUAUCACUAUUGGGAAGAAAAUGGAGAGAACAGAUGAAAGAAAAACAUUUAUCCAAUGAUUUUUACUUAUACCUUUCAGCAAAGCUAAAGUAAAACAAACCCCGAUGCGUUCAUGUACCUAUAUGUAUUUUUAUGCUUAAUUUAUCCCACCUCUGAUUUGAUAAAAGUUUGGAAACAAUGUUAUCAAACAAAUUUCUAUCCAAAGGGGGAUUUGCUUCUUAAAAACCUUAAUAAAAUGUUGAUCGAAAAGAAGUUAAAGUAAAUGUCACCUCUUCAUAAACCUUUAUGGGCAUAAUCACAAAAUUAUAUGUAUAGUAUAAUAAUAUUCAUCAUUAAUAAUACAAGAUAUUUGCAUUAAAAAUACAAUUAUUGUUACAUCUAAAUGUGUUUCAUGGAGGAGCUAAUAAAUUCUAUGA